ACACAUGCAGUCGAGCGGCAGCACAGGUACUUGUACCUGGUGGCGAGCGGCGGACGGGUGAGUAAUGCCUAGGAAUCUGCCUAGUAGUGGGGGAUAACGUCCGGAAACGGGCGCUAAUACCGCAUACGUCCUACGGGAGAAAGUGGGGGAUCUUCGGACCUCACGCUAUUAGAUGAGCCUAGGUCGGAUUAGCUAGUUGGUGAGGUAAUGGCUCACCAAGGCGACGAUCCGUAACUGGUCUGAGAGGAUGAUCAGUCACACUGGAACUGAGACACGGUCCAGACUCCUACGGGAGGCAGCAGUGGGGGAUAUUGGACAAUGGGCGAAAGCCUGAUCCAGCCAUGCCGCGUGUGCGAAGAAGGUCUUCGGAUUGUAAAGCACUUUAAGUUGGGAGGAAGGGCAGUUACCUAAUACGUGAUUGUUUUGACGUUACCGACAGAAUAAGCACUUGCUAACUCUGUGCCAGCAGCCGCGGUAAUACAGAGGGUGCAAGCGUUAAUCGGAAUUACUGGGCGUAAAGCGCGCGUAGGUGGUUUGUUAAGUUGGAUGUGAAAGCCCCGGGCUCAACCUGGGAACUGCAUCCAAAACUGGCAAGCUAGAGUAUGGUAGAGGGUGGUGGAAUUU
rnacentral:rRNA from 1 species